rnacentral:rRNA from 1 species
GACGAACGCUGGCGGCGUGCUUAACACAUGCAAGUCGAACGAAGUGGCGAACGGGUGAGUAACGCGUAAUCAACCUGCCCUUCAGAGGGGGACAACAGUUGGAAACGACUGCUAAUACCGCAUACUGAAGGAGGGGAUGUGGUCUGAUUAGCUAGUUGGAGGGGUAACGGGCCACCAAGGGGAUGAUCAGUAGCCGUGGUGAGAGGAUGAACGGCUACAUUGGGCCUGAGACACGGGCCAGAUGACUACGGGGUGCAGCAGUGGGGAAUCUUCCGCAAUGGACGAAAGUCUGACGGAGCAACGCCGCGUGAGUGAUGACGGCCUUCGGGUUGUAAAGCUCUGUUAAUCGGGACGCGGUACCGGAAUAGAAAGCCACGGCUAACUACGUGCCAGCAGCCGCGGUAAUUC